rnacentral:rRNA from 1 species
UACGUAGGGGGCAAGCGUUAUCCGGAUUUACUGGGUGUAAAGGGAGCGUAGACGGCUGUGCAAGUCAGAAGUGAAAGCCCGGGGCUCAACCCCGGGACUGCUCUUGAAACUGCAUGGCUGGAGUGCAGGAGAGGUAAGCGGAAUUCCUGGUGUAGCGGUGAAAUGCGUAGAUAUCAGGAGGAACACCAGUGGCGAAGGCGGCUUACUGGACUGUAACUGACGUUGAGGCUCGAAAGCGUGGGGAGCAAACAGG